rnacentral:tmRNA from 1 species
GGGGGUGUCAUGGUUUCGACUAAUCUCAGCUGGAUUCAAACUGCAGUGGAGUGGUUACCUAAUAACCAAACAAAAAUAUUCGGCAAAAAUCAACUUUGCUUUGCUUAAUCGUUGAGCGACAUUAGCUCCUAAGCAGCUUCUAUUGAUAAAGCUUGUAGUCAAUAGUCGUAUACACAAGAUAGGUGAAGAUAGUUAGCCUUAUCUAUCCAUCCGAAAACCGAAAAGGCAAACUCAAUAGUUGGUAGUUUAAGCCGUUCUAUUGUUUUAUAAAAGUUAAACUAAACUGUAGAAGUUUGAAUGUGGGGCUACUUUAGGACACGGGUUCGACUCCCGUCAUCUCCACCA